rnacentral:rRNA from 1 species
CGUGACUAACCUACCCAGGAGUGGGGGGAGUAACUGAGGGAAACCUUAAGCUAAUACCGCAUAACACCUACGGGUCAAAGGAGCAAUUCGCUUCUGGAGGGGGUCGCGGCCGAUUAGUUAGUUGGCAGGGUAAUGGCCUACCAAGACGAUGAUCGGUAUCCGGCCUGAGAGGGCGCACGGACACACUGGAACUGAAACACGGUCCAG